AACGAACGCUGGCGGCAGGCCUAACACAUGCAAGUCGAACGCCCUAGCAAUAGGGAGUGGCAGACGGGUGAGUAACGCGUGGGAACGUACCCUUCGGUUCGGAAUAACCCAGGGAAACUUGGACUAAUACCGGAUACGUGCGAGAGCAGAAAGAUUUAUCGCCGAAGGAUCGGCCCGCGUCCGAUUAGCUAGUUGGUGAGGUAAUGGCUCACCAAGGCGACGAUCGGUAGCUGGUCNGAGAGGAUGAUCAGCCACACUGGGACUGAGACACGGCCAGACUCCUACGGGAGGCAGCAGUGGGGAAUAUUGGACAAUGGGCGCAAGCCUGAUCCAGCCAUGCCGCGUGGGUGAUGAAGGCCCUAGGGUUGUAAAGCCCUUUCGGCGGGAAGAUAAUGACGGUACCCGCAGAAGAAGCCCCGGCUAACUUCGUGCCAGCCGCCGCGGUAAC
rnacentral:rRNA from 1 species